AAACCGUGUUGUGGGCAUGAAUUGACAAGAUCCUUGAAUCGCUCCCAACAUUAGAAGAAUUUUUCGUUUUCCUUUUGGGCGAAAUUCAUGAUUGACUUUCUAAGGGC